rnacentral:rRNA from 1 species
UACGUAGGGUGCGAGCGUUAAUCGGAAUUACUGGGCGUAAAGCGUGCGCAGGCUGUUCUGUAAGUCAGAUGUGAAAUCCCCGAGCUCAACUUGGGAACUGCGUUUGAAACUACAGGACUAGAAUAUGUCAGAGGGGGGGUAGAAUUCCACGUGUAGCAGUGAAAUGCGUAGAGAUGUGGAGGAAUACCAAUGGCGAAGGCAGCCCCCUGGGAUAAUAUUGACGCUCAUGCACGAAAGCGUGGGGAGCAAACAGG